rnacentral:rRNA from 1 species
AGAGUUUGAUCCUGGCUCAGAUUGAACGCUGGCGGCAGGCCUAACACAUGCAAGUCGAACGGUAGCACAGAGAGCUUGCUCUCGGGUGACGAGUGGCGGACGGGUGAGUAAUGUCUGGGAAACUGCCUGAUGGAGGGGGAUAACUCACUGGAAACGGUAGCUAAUACCGCAUAAUGUCGCAAGACCAAAGAGGGGGACCUUCGGGCCUCUUGCCAUCAGAUGUGCCCAGAUGGGAUUAGCUAGUAGGCGGGGUAAUGGCCCACCUAGGCGACGAUCCCUAGCUGGUCUGAGAGGAUGACCAGCCACACUGGAACUGAGACACGGUCCAGACUCCUACGGGAGGCAGCAGUGGGGAAUAUUGCACAAUGGGCGCAAGCCUGAUGCAGCCAUGCCGCGUGUGUGAAGAAGGCCUUCGGGUUGUAAAGCACUUUCAGCGGGGAGGAAGGCGGUACGGUUAAUAACCGUGCUGAUUGACGUUACCCGCAGAAGAAGCACCGGCUAACUCCGUGCCAGCAGCCGCGGUAAUACGGAGGGUGCAAGCGUUAAUCGGAAUUACUGGGCGUAAAGCGCACGCAGGCGGUCUGUCAAGUCGGAUGUGAAAUCCCCGGGCUCAACCUGGGAACUGCAUUCGAAACUGGCAG